rnacentral:rRNA from 1 species
GGAGGGUGCAAGCGUUGUUCGGAAUUAUUGGGCGUAAAGAGCAUGUAGGCGGGCCUAGUUAGUCUGAUGUGAAAUCCCAGGGCUUAACCCUGGAACUGCAUUGGAUACUGCUAGGCUAGAGACCGAGAGAGGGAAGCGGAAUUCCUGGUGUAGGGGUGAAAUCCGUAGAUAUCAGGAGGAACACCGGAGGCGAAGGCGGCUUCCUGGCUCGGUUCUGACGCUGAGAUGCGAAAGCGUGGGUAGCAAACGGGAUUAGAUACCCCGAUAGUCCACGCCCUAAACGAUGGAUACUAGACGUUGGAGUUCCUAAUAGCUUCAGUGUCGCAGCUAACGCGGUAAGUAUCCCGCCUGGGGAUUACGGUCGCAAGAUUA